rnacentral:lncRNA from 1 species
CCGAAGGCCAGGUGAGUGUCCCGGGGCUGGCCACAGACCGCAUCCCCCGUGUAGACUUGGUCCACAGGCUGGAUGCAGCUGGGUGGGGGCUUGUGGGUGAGAUCAGGUGGGCUUGGCCAGCCCCACACACACUGGAACCAGCUAAAGGCUGCAUGUGGCCAAACGCACCAACUAGAUCACCCCAUGGUCAGAUUACCUGCCCUGCGGGGUGCCUUCCAGGUCUGGAAAUUUAGCAGGAGCUGAGCAGCAAUUAAUGCCAAUGUUCCUCCCACUACCAAAUUUCCAAGGUGAAUGCCACUGCUCUAAGAUGUUCCCCCAUCCUAUUGGCAGUAGGAGGGAGAAGGAGAAGCAGAAGCUGCUACUUUCUAAGCAGAAGUUGCUGCAAGGCACCUGUGAGGAGCUGCAGCUCCAACUAUCACUGCCGGGAAAUGCAGCUGCUUCUGGAAGGCCUGUACUGAGUGUGACAAAAAUGAAUUCACAGCAUGAAAGAGGUUGGAAGAAAGAUGGGCAGUAUGACAGCAUACGAAAAACAAAAGGCUGGAAAAAAUGGACAAGAUGAGAAUGAAGGGCAUGAUCUUCAUUACAUAUACUAAAGAACUCUCCUGCUUCUACUCACUUGGAAGAGGAGGGAUGGAGUCUUUAAAGUGAAACAUAAUUAUCAUUAUUAAUUAUUUUGUUGUAACCUGUUAAGUCAUCUGAAAACCAUUAAAAAAGACUAAUAUGUAAAAAUAAAUGUCAGAAAUAAAAACA